AAACUCUGGCUUCCCUUCAGUUGUCGAAUAAAUCUUGCGCCUUUUACUAAAGUUUUUCGUGGAUAGGAGCACUCUGAUGAGUCUAAAUUGAUUUUUUAUAUUUUUCUCGGAUACCGCACAU
rfam:Glossina fuscipes fuscipes unplaced genomic scaffold Scaffold307, whole genome shotgun sequence.